UUUGUAAAUGCUGCAUGACUGUGACGUGUUUUAAUGCGCGUGCGCGUUGAACGUUCGAAUCGCUUUCAUAAUGCUGUAGCGGAUCUGAGUUGCCAUGGAAACGGGGAAACGUCAAGCAGCAAGCCUCCGUCUCGCUGUUGUUUUCACUGAUUUUAGGGACGACAGAAAACCCCCUCCAACAAAGGGUAAAUUCCAAAGUUUGCAGCAUUUCUGGAGGAAACAGAUCCUUCCAUGAGGAUGGCCUCCUGCACCCCAGCAGAGCUGAGCGACCUCCUGUCAAAGGCCAUGAACCAGAUGACUAUUGUUGUUUCAGUGAGGUUGUUCUUGAAAGGCCUGUAGGCUAAAUAAUCAGCUAAAAGAGUUAUGUUUGCCAGUGACAGACGCCAUACUGUUCCACUCAAAGAUGAGAUGUAAUCUCUAGCGUUUGGAGCUGUGAUUCUUCAGGACAAGAUGCCAUUCACACUUGAUACAUGAAGAUGCACAUCACUGACAGGCUUUCCUGUGUAACACUGAUUCAAGUUUUCCACCAUUGUAUUUAUCCAAAUGAGGAUCUCAGGGAUCCCCAGUUGAAGGCAUCAGGACAUCAGAUGUUGGCCUGGACAGAUGUACCAACAGUACACCACAAAGACCUCUGCUUUUAAAUGGAUGGCUGAUUACUACCAUGUUCUGUGAGGGUAUUAUUAUAGCAAAACUGAGCACCUGUGACAGUGGGAUUUCUAAUUUUAAAGAAUAGUCAUACAUCAGUAAAUUAUUUAUUUAUU